AGCUCUGUUUAGUGACAGUAUCAUAGCCAAUGAGGUUUAUCCAAGGCACAAUUACUGCUAAUUGAAAACUUCUCUGAUAUGAC
ensembl:snRNA U4 U4 spliceosomal RNA